UACGUAGGCAGCGAGCGUUGUUCGGAGUUACUGGGCGUAAAGGGUGUGUAGGCGGUUUUCUAAGUUUGGUGUGAAAUCUCCCGGCUCAACCGGGAGGGUGCGCCGAAAACUGGGAGACUAGAGUGCGGGAUGGGAGAGUAGAAUUCCUGGUGUAGCGGUGAAAUGCGUAGAUAUCGGGAAGAACACCCGUGGCGAAGGCGGCUCUCUGGGACGGUACUGACGCUGAGACGCGAAAGCGUGGGGAGCGAACAGG
rnacentral:rRNA from 1 species